GCUGCACACAAACCCAAGGGUCAUUACUGGUCAUUUGUAAUGCUCCUUUUCAGCGUGUGCACAAAUUGAAAUAGGACCUUGUCGCCUUCCACUUGCUGCUGUGCUACUGGAAGUGAAUUCAAGGUCCAACAUUU